GGAGUCUAGCGCGUGCGCGAGUCAUUGGGCACACUAAACCCAAAGGCGAAAUUAAGGUGAAGGCGCGCUCAGCGCGCGCCUAGGGAGGAUGGGCGGGCCCCGGCCCGCUCCGCACUCCCGGGGCGUCUCUUUCUCAUCGCGAGAAAAGGCGCACCAAGAGCGUACGCGCUGGGACCCGAAAGAUGGUGAACUAUGCCUGGUCAGGACGAAGUCAGGGGAAACCCUGAUGGAGGUCCGUAGCGAUUCUGACGUGCAAAUCGAUCGUCGGAACUGGGUAUAGGGGCGAAAGACUAAUCGAACCAUCUAGUAGCUGGUUCCCUCCGAAGUUUCCCUCAGGAUAGCUGGCACUCGCGAUGCGAGUUUCAUCCGGUAAAGCGAAUGAUUAGAGGCAUUGGGGACGAAACGUCCUCAACCUAUUCUCAAACUUUAAAUGGGUGAGAUCUCCGGCUUUCUUGAACUUAAUUUUUUGAAGCCGCGAGAUCGAAUCCAGAGUGCCAAGUGGGCCAUUUUUGGUAAGCAGAACUGGCGUUGUGGGAUGAACCAAACGCGGAGUUAAAGCGCCUAAAUGGACGCUCAUAAGACACCAUGAAAGGCGUUGGUAACUUAAGACAGCAGGACGGUGGCCAUGGAA
rnacentral:rRNA from 1 species